UACGUAGGGUGCAAGCGUUAAUCGGAAUUACUGGGCGUAAAGCGUGCGCAGGCGGUUUUGUAAGCCAGAUGUGAAAUCCCCGGGCUCAACCUGGGAAUGGCAUUUGGGACUGCAAGGCUGGAGUGUGGCAGAGGAGACUGGAAUUCCUGGUGUAGCAGUGAAAUGCGUAGAUAUCAGGAGGAAUACCGAUGGCGAAGGCAGGUCUCUGGGCUGACACUGACGCUCAUGCACGAAAGCGUGGGGAGCAAACAGG
rnacentral:rRNA from 1 species